UACGUAGGGUGCGAGCGUUAAUCGGAGUUACUGGGCGUAAAGCGCACGCAGGCGGUCUGCUAAGUUUGGAGUGACAGUUGGUGGCUUAACUGCCAAAGUGCUUCGAAAACUGACAGACUUGAGGGCUUCAGAGGGACACGGAAUUCCGGGUGGAGUGGUGAAAUGCGUAGAGAUCCGGAGGAACACCAAAGGCGAAGGCAGUGUCCUGGGGAGUACCUGACGCUCAGGUGCGAAAGCCAGGGGAGCGAACGGG
rnacentral:rRNA from 1 species